rnacentral:rRNA from 1 species
GAUGAACGCUGACAGAAUGCUUAACACAUGCAAGUCAACUUGAAUUUGGGUUUUUAACUUAGGUUUGGGUGGCGGACGGGUGAGUAACGCGUAAAGAACUUGCCUCACAGCUAGGGACAACAUUUGGAAACGAAUGCUAAUACCUAAUAUUAUGAUAAUAGGGCAUCCUAUAAUUAUGAAAGCUAUAAGCGCUGUGAGAGAGCGUAGCGUCCCAUUAGCUAGUUGGAGAGGUAACGGCUCACCAAGGCGACGAUGGGUAGCCGGCCUGAGAGGAUGAUCGGCCACAAGGGGACUGAGACACAGCCGUUGCUCCUACGGGAGGAAGCAGUGAAGAAUAUUGGACAAUGGACGGAGAGGCUGAUACAGCAAUUCUGUGGGCACAAUGAAGUUUUUCGGAAUGAAAAGUGCUUUCAGUUGGGAAGAAACAAAGAACGGUACCAACAGAAGAAGUAACGGCUAAAUACGU